rnacentral:rRNA from 1 species
UACGUAGGGUGCAAGCGUUGUCCGGAAUUAUUGGGCGUAAAGAGCUCGUAGGCGGUCUGUCGCGUCGGCUGUGAAACCCGGGGCUCAACCCCGGGCCUGCAGUCGAUACGGGCAGACUAGAGUGCGGUAGGGGAGACUGGAAUUCCUGGUGUAGCGGUGAAAUGCGCAGAUAUCAGGAGGAACACCGGUGGCGAAAGCGGCUUCCUGGUCCAGCACCGACGUUCAGGCACGAAAGCGUGGGGAGCAAACAGG